rnacentral:rRNA from 24 species
AAAUUGAAGAGUUUGAUCAUGGCUCAGAUUGAACGCUGGCGGCAGGCCUAACACAUGCAAGUCGAACGGUAACAGGAAGCAGCUUGCUGCUUUGCUGACGAGUGGCGGACGGGUGAGUAAUGUCUGGGAAACUGCCUGAUGGAGGGGGAUAACUACUGGAAACGGUGGCUAAUACCGCAUAACGUCGCAAGACCAAAGAGGGGGACCUUCGGGCCUCUUGCCAUCAGAUGUGCCCAGAUGGGAUUAGCUUGUUGGUGAGGUAACGGCUCACCAAGGCGACGAUCCCUAGCUGGUCUGAGAGGAUGACCAGCCACACUGGAACUGAGACACGGUCCAGACUCCUACGGGAGGCAGCAGUGGGGAAUAUUGCACAAUGGGCGCAAGCCUGAUGCAGCCAUGCCGCGUGUAUGAAGAAGGCCUUCGGGUUGUAAAGUACUU